rnacentral:rRNA from 1 species
GACGAACGCUGGCGGCGUGCCUAAUACAUGCAAGUAGAACGCUGAAGGAGGAGCUUGCUCUUCUGGAUGAGUUGCGAACGGGUGAGUAACGCGUAGGUAACCUGCCUGGUAGCGGGGGAUAACUAUUGGAAACGAUAGCUAAUACCGCAUAAUAGCAGUUGUUGCAUGACAACUGUUUGAAAGGUGCAAUUGCACCACUACCAGAUGGACCUGCGUCGUAUUAGCUAGUUGGUGGGGUAACGGCUCACCAAGGCGACGAUACAUAGCCGACCUGAGAGGGUGAUCGGCCACACUGGGAGUGAGACACGGCCCAGACUCCUACGUGGAGGCAGCAGUAGGGAAUCUUCGGCAAUGGACGGAAGUCUGACCGAGCAACGCCGCGUGAGUGAAGAAGGUUUUCGGAUCGUAAAGCUCUGUUGUAAGAGAAGAACGAAGUGUGAGAGUGGAAAGUUCACA